UACGUAGGGUGCGAGCGUUAAUCGGAAUUACUGGGCGUAAAGCGUGCGCAGGCGGUUCGUUGUGUCUGCCGUGAAAGCCCCGGGCUUAACCUGGGAAUGGCGAUGGAAACUGACGAGCUUGAGUGUGGCAGAGGGGGGUGGAAUUCCGCGUGUAGCAGUGAAAUGCGUAGAGAUGCGGAGGAACACCGAUGGCGAAGGCAGCCCCCUGGGCUAGCACUGACGCUCAGGCACGAAAGCGUGGGGAGCAAACAGG
rnacentral:rRNA from 1 species